ensembl:rRNA
AUCUAUGGCCAUGCCACCCUGAACCCACCCGACCUCAUCUGAUCUCGGAAGAAUAAGGUGCCUAGUGUGGGGCAGACACUUGUAAUACCAACAUUCAGAACCACGAAGCAGCAGGUU